UAGGUCAGCGGCGGACGGGUGAGUAACACGUGGGUAACCUGCCUGUAAGACUGGGAUAACUCCGGGAAACCGGGGCUAAUACCGGAUGCUUGAUUGAACCGCAUGGUUCAAUCAUAAAAGGUGGCUUUUAGCUACCACUUGCAGAUGGACCCGCGGCGCAUUAGCUAGUUGGUGAGGUAACGGCUCACCAAGGCGACGAUGCGUAGCCGACCUGAGAGGGUGAUCGGCCACACUGGGACUGAGACACGGCCCAGACUCCUACGGGAGGCAGCAGUAGGGAAUCUUCCGCAAUGGACGAAAGUCUGACGGAGCAACGCCGCGUGAGUGAUGAAGGUUUUCGGAUCGUAAAACUCUGUUGUUAGGGAAGAACAAGUACCGUUCGAAUAGGGCGGUACCUUGACGGUACCUAACCAGAAAGCCACGGCUAACUACGUGCCAGCAGCCGCGGUAAUACGUAGGUGGCAAGCGUUGUCCGGAAUUAUUGGGCGUAAAGCGCGCGCAGGCGGUUUCUUAAGUCUGAUGUGAAAGCCCCCGGCUCAACCGGGGAGGGUCAUUGGAAACUGGGGAACUUGAGUGCAGAAGAGGAGAGUGGAAUUCCACGUGUAGCGGUGAAAUGCGUAGAGAUGUGGAGGAACACCAGUGGCGAAGGCGACUCUCUGGUCUGUAACUGACGCUGAGGCGCGAA
rnacentral:rRNA from 1 species